AGAGUUUGAUCCUGGCUCAGGGCUAACGCUGGCGGCGCGCCUAACACAUGCAAGUCGAACGAGCCCUUCGGGGUUAGUGGCAGACGGGUGAGUAACGCGUGGAUAAUGUGCCUCUUUGCUGGGGAUACCGUUCCGAAAGGGACGUUAAUACCGUAAUGUGCUCGACUGGUGGCAUCACCGGAUGAGUAAACUGUUAGGGUGAAGAGAGCAGUCCGCGUUCUAUCAGCUUGUUGGUGGGGUAACGGCCUACCAAGGCUACGACGGAUAACUGGUCUGAGAGGAUGAUCAGUCACACUGGAACUGAGACACGGUCCAGACUCCUACGGGAGGCAGCAGUGAGGAAUCUUGCACAAUGGGCGAAAGCCUGAUGCAGCGACGCCGCGUGAGGGACGACGGCCUUCGGGUUGUAAACCUCUGUCAGUGGGGAAGAAGAUUGACGGUACCCACUGAGGAAGCUUCGGCUAACUACGUGCCAGCAGCCGCGGUAAUACGUAGGGAGCAAGCGUUGCCCGGAAUUACUGGGCGUAAGAGCUCGUAGGCGGGGGCGUGCGUCCGGGAAGAAAUCUUACGGCUCAACCGUAGGGCUAUCUCGGAUACGGCGCUUCUUGAGGGUGAGAGAGGAAAGCGGAAUUCCAGGUGUAGCGGUGAAAUGCGUAGAUUCUGGAGGAACACCAGCGGCGAAGGCGGCUUUCUGGCUCAUUCCUGACGCUAGGAGCGAAAAGCGUGGGGUAGCGAACGGGGAUUAGAAUACCCCCGGUUAGUUCCACCCCCCGUAAACGAUGGAUAACUAAGGUGUAAGGAGGUAUCGACCCCUUCUUGUGCCGGAGUACACAUUAAAUAUCCCCGCCUGGGGGAGUACGGUCGCAAGGCUGAAAACUUCAAAGGAAUUGACGGGGGCCCGCACAAGUGGUGGAGCAUGUGGUUUAAUUCGACGCUACGCGAAGAACCUUACCUGGGCUUGACAUGGACAGGAAUGUACUGGAGACAGUGCAGCCUUCGGGUCUGUUCACAGGUGCUGCAUGGCUGUCGUCAGCUCGUGCCGUGAGGUGUUGGGUUAAGUCCCGCAACGAGCGCAACCCCUACUUUUAGUUGCCAUCGGGUAAUGCCGGGCACUCUAGAGGGACUGCCAGCACAAGCUGGAGGAAGNUGGGGACGACGUCAAGUCAUCAUGGCCCUUACGUCCAGGGCUACACACGUGCUACAAUGGCCGGUACAGAGGGCAGCCAACCCGUGAGGGGGAGCGAAUCUCACAAAGCCGGUCUCAGUUCGGAUUGCAGGCUGCAACUCGCCUGCAUGAAGCCGGAAUCACUAGUAACCGCAGAUCAGCUACGCUGCGGUGAAUACGUUCCCGGGCCUUGUACACACCGCCCGUCACGUCACGAAAGAUAGUUGUACCCGAAGUCGCUGGGCUAACCGCAAGGAGGCAGGCGCCGAAGGUAUGGCUGUUGAUUGGGACGAAGUCGUAACAAGGUAGCCGUAUCGGAAGGUGCGGCUGGAUCACCUCC
rnacentral:rRNA from 1 species